GCCUGAUGCAGCAACGCCGCGUGAGGGACGACGGCCUUCGGGUUGUAAACCUCUUUUAGCAAGGAAGAAGCGAAAGUGACGGUACUUGCAGAAAAAGCGCCGGCUAACUACGUGCCAGCAGCCGCGGUAAUACGUAGGGCGCAAGCGUUAUCCGGAAUUAUUGGGCGUAAAGAGCUCGUAGGCGGUUUGUCGCGUCUGCUGUGAAAACCCGAGGCUCAACCUCGGGCCUGCAGUGGGUACGGGCAGACUAGAGUGCGGUAGGGGAGAUUGGAAUUCCUGGUGUAGCGGUGGAAUGCGCAGAUAUCAGGAGGAACACCGAUGGCGAAGGCAGAUCUCUGGGCCGUAACUGACGCUGAGGAGCGAAAGGGUGGGGAGCAAACAGGCUUAGAUACCCUGGUAGUCCACCCCGUAAACGUUGGGAACUAGUUGUGGGGUCCAUUCCACGGAUUCCGUGACGCAGCUAACGCAUUAAGUUCCCCGCCUGGGGAGUACGGCCGCAAGGCUAAAACUCAAAGGAAUUGACGGGGACCCGCACAAGCGGCGGAGCAUGCGGAUUAAUUCGAUGCAACGCGAAGAACCUUACCAAGGCUUGACAUAUACGAGAACGCUGCAGAAAUGUAGAACUCUUUGGACACUC
rnacentral:rRNA from 4 species